UACGUAGGGUGCAAGCGUUACUCGGAAUUACUGGGCGUAAAGCGUGCGCAGGCGGUCAUGCAAGACAGAUGUGAAAUCCCCGGGCUCAACCUGGGAACUGCAUUUGUGACUGCAUGGCUGGAGUGCGGCAGAGGGGGAUGGAAUUCCGCGUGUAGCAGUGAAAUGCGUAGAUAUGCGGAGGAACACCGAUGGCGAAGGCAAUCCCCUGGGCCUGCACUGACGCUCAUGCACGAAAGCGUGGGGAGCAAACAGG
rnacentral:rRNA from 1 species